rnacentral:rRNA from 1 species
GACGAACGCUGGCGGCGUGCUUAACACAUGCAAGUCGAACGGAAAGGCCCUGCUUUUGUGUGGUGCUCGAGUGGCGAACGGGUGAGUAACACGUGAGUAACCUUCCCUUUACUUUGGGAUAACUUCAGGAAACUGGGGCUAAUACCGGCUAGGAGCUCCUGCUGCAUGGUGGUGGUUGGAAAGUUUCGGCGGUUGGGGAUGGACUCGCGGCUUAUCAGCUUGUUGGUGGGGUAGUGGCUUACCAAGGCUUUGACGGGUAGCCGGCCUGAGAGGGUGACCGGCCACAUUGGGACUGAGAUACGGCCCAGACUCCUACGGGAGGCAGCAGUGGGGAAUAUUGCACAAUGGGCGGAAGCCUGAUGCAGAAACGCCGCGUGCGGGAUGACGGCCUUCGGGUUGUAAACCGCUUUAGCCUGUGACGAAGCGUGAGUGACGGUAAUGGGUAAAGAAGCACCGGCUAACUACGUG